GGGGUUAGAACUCAGUGGCAGAGUGUGUGCUUAGCAUGCACAAGGUCAUGGGUUCAAUCCCCAGUACCUCUA
rnacentral:tRNA from 1 species